CCUGCGUGCGCGCUGAGCUCGGCGCCGCGUCCUGGUGUGGAGUGGCGGCGAGCGCUCGCGCGCGUCUCUUCAGGGUCUCCCGUGCGCUGGGGCUGGGCGUGCCGGGCAGGGUAGAGUUGUUUGAGAUUCAUGAGUCAACAUGCUUGGGAGAAGACCCAGGAAAAGUCCCCAGGCAAAGGGCCAGGGAGCUGCUGCUGCAAAGCAGCUGGGGCUCUUCGUAGAUUUCAAUCCUGAAGCAAUGUUGCUGGAUAUUGAGGAUGGUGGUGGUGAUGAGGAUCUAGAAGCAGAGCUUGCUGCUCUCACAGGAGAGAAGGUGACAGAAGGGAAGUCAAAACCCAAAGGGAAAACCCCUUUACCCAUGGAUCAUAUUGAAAAGAUGGCUGCAGAGUGCAUGAAGGACCUGAAUGAGGAGAAGGAGGAGGAUGAAGGUUUGGAGGAGGAUACGGACCUUUUGGCAGAGUUGCAGGAAGUUCUGGGCAAGCAAGACGAGACAGAAAGUGGUGAGGAUGAAACCAUAGCGAUGGAGGUGGUAGCAGCUCCACCAGUAAUACAGCAGCAACCUGAACUGCAGGCAGAGAUCACAUCUCCUGCUGUUUCCAGUGAAUUGCAGCGGACGAUAGAGGACAGAAUAGCUAACUAUAAGGCAGCAAUCUCUAAUGCAAAGGAGGCAGACGAGAGUGGCAAAGUGCGACGGUACGAAAGAGGCCUCAAGACACUGGAAACCAUGUUGGCUGCAAUGAAGAAGGGCAAAAAGAUCAAUGAGGAAGAAAUGCCACCCCCUGUAGCAUCAGGGAGAAGCUCUGCUAAUAUGCCUCAAACCACAGGAGCUGUGCCAGAGAGUUUAGGUGAUCCAACCAAAGUAAUACCCAAGGAGAAAGUGGAAUCCUCUGCAGACCAUGAGCUACAGCCUGUCAAUGAUAUGAAGUUGUCUCCGGGGUCAUCCUCUUUACAAUGUCAUGCUGCUGCUACUUCUGUCCUAGAAAUGGGUACUACAUUACAAGAUGAUUCCCUUAGCACGAGCACACGAACACUACUGGUUACAAGACAGAAAGAGUAUAAAUUAGCAGCUCUGAAAGCCAAACAGCAAGGAGAUCUAGAGAAGGCAAAAGAAUAUAUGAAGACUGGCAAGAAAUUUACAAUGGUCUUAGAAGCACUGGACAGUGGACAGCCAGUAGAUCUCCAGGAUAUGCCCCCAGCUCCACAAGAUCUUGAAAGCCUGGAAAAGAGACCGGCUCCAUCAAACCGGAUGGCAUCUGUUCCCGUUGAAAAUUCCCAGCCCCUCACAAUGUUCAAACCUCAGGGCCAUGAAGCCUCAGUGUCUGCUCAGCAGCCGAAAACUGUGCUGGAAGCUUUGCAGCAGAGGUUGGAGAAAUACAGAUCCGCAGCAGCGCAGGCCAAAGCAAGUGGGGAUGAUCGGAAAGGCAGGAUGCAUGAGAGGAUAGCCAAGCAAUACCAAGAUGCCAUAAGAACCCAUAAAGCAGGGAGAAAAGUGAAUUUUGCUGAAUUACCAGUUCCCCCUGGAUUCCCCCCCAUUCCUGGUGUGACACCCACAGAUGGCGACAGUACAAUAGCUGCCGUGCUGGAAAGCGCCAACCACCUGGCUAACAUGGAGGAGAAAGAAGAUGAAGAUGAAGAGGUGGAGAGCGAACCUCCCACACAGGCCCCAGUUGCCAAGAGGCCUGCUCAGCUGCCUGAGAAGCCAACACAAGUUGUUAAGCCAAUUAUGGUGCCAUCUGCUGUAGCCCAGGAAGAGCACUCUUCUGAGAGUGUGAAAAAAGUUACAUCACCAUCCACUCCUGUAACAGCACCAGACAAAGCUGUAUCGAACGACCAUCUCCCUUUAGCCGCAAGUGAACAGCUAGAAUUUCUGGAGAACAGGAAGAAGCAAUACUUGAAGGCUGCGAUCAAAGCAAAGCAGCAGAAUGACCUUGAACAAGCCAAGCUGUAUCUCAGGACAGCAAAGAACUUAGACCCAAAGAUUGAGCUGGCAAAAAGCGGCAAAUCUGUUGAUAUUUCCAAGCUACCAUCACCCCCUACAGAUGAUGAGAGUGACUUUAUCUUCAUACACCAUGAGGAUGUCAAACUCUCUCAGAAGGCAGAAGAGGUGUACACUCAGCUCAUAAAACUGCUAAAGGACCAGCAUGAGAAAUGUUUGCAGUAUUCCAGGCAGUUCAUGCAUCUGGGAAACAUAACUGAAACAGCCCGGUUUGAAAAACUGGCACAAGGAUGUAAAAAGGACCUGGAGAUUCUGCAACUUGCACAGGCCCAGGGAAUGGAUCCCCCCAGCCAUCACUUUGAGGAGAGAACCUUUAAAAUAAUAAGGAUAUUUUCUGAACUCAACAGUACGGAAAUGCAUCUUAUCAUUGUCAGGGGAAUAAACCUGCCAGCUCCCCCAGGUGUGACACCAAAUGAUUUGGAUGCGUUUGUGAAAUUUGAAUUUCAGUACCCUAAUACGGAACAAGCUCAGAAAAGUAAAACGGCAGUAAUUAAAAAUACCAAUUCUCCAGAAUAUGAUCAGCUGUUCAAGUUGACCAUUAACCGAAAUCACAGAGGCUUCCGAAGAGUGAUUCAGACCAAGGGAAUUAAGUUUGAAAUAUUUCACAAAGGGGGCCUUUUCAGAAGUGACAAGCAAGUGGGAACAGCACAUUUGAAACUAGACAAACUGGAAUCAGAAUGUGAAAUUAGAGAGAUAAUUGAGAUUCUGGAUGGUAGGAAGCCCACCGGAGGGAAACUAGAGGUGAAAGUGAGACUCAGGGAGCCACUCAGUGGUCAAGAUCUUCAAACGAUUACAGAAAACUGGUUGAUCCUUGAACAUUAGUUAUCCUAAGUGUCCCUACCUCAUUCAGUGUACGAAUUGGAUGCACAAGGGAGCUGGAUUAAGAUUCCCUGGGCAACUGUAUACACCUGACACUUCCUGUCUGUGGAGUGCUUGCAUUAACUUGGAUGUUCUUUACAUGUAGAUUUUGUGUAUCCAGGAAUGCUAAAAGCUGCAGAAUCGAGUUUGUACAUAGGACACUGCUACCUGCGAGCACCAAAGAUGUUAAAUGAAUGCACAACUGGACAUAACAUGUCUUUAUUUUGGUAAUUACCUUAGUGUGUGUUAAGUUUUAUAAGGCAAGUAUUGUAAGGCCCUGGAAACUUACUACUAGUGGGAAAAAUGGAACUGAUCUAUGCAAAAUGGAUUGAAUUGCCUUAAGAUGGGACUACUAAUGUUAGCACCAGAUGAAUGUUAUAUAAACUCAUCAUAACUAUCCUCUGCAGGGACUGUUUCAUAGUGGUGCAUGAAACCUGUAAUGGUUUGCUCUUAAAAAAAAUCACUGGAGCAGUGCAAGGUAAUUAAUUUGCAAAUGAGACCUUAUGCUCCCAGCAUGGCUAGCUUGUGCUAGAAGCAACUCUUUUUCAGGCAUAUAUGCUCUUAUGCAUUGAAUACCACCUACUGCUUCCUCUUAUGAUCACCCUCAGGCCCUUCUGAAGAUCUGUAUGCUCCUCCUAUAAGUGUCCUGGGAUGAAGAAAAUAGUUCACUUUAAGCAGAGCUUUAGCAGCAGUGUAUCCCAUCUCCUCUGCAUGCUCUUGCAGCACUCUUAACUAGAUGUGCCUUGGCUUAAGGUAACAAUAGGAUAUGAGGAUUUUUUUUAGAAUAGGGUUGCAGCUCUGGGUUUUGAAUUGGUUAUCAGUUGCCUGCCCUGUUGUCCACCCCCCCCCCCCCCGAACUGUUUAUUCCAACUCAGCCUGCUUUGUGUGCCUUCAUUUUCUUAAUGCUUGGGAAUCAGUAAAGCCUGAUAUGGCCUGUUUAACAUGACAGGGUUUUCUGAAGGAUUGGAGUGUUUCACUAGGCUACUUACUAAUUGAUUGAAAAAUAGCCACUCUUAUUUGUGUAGAAAACUGGAUCAUUGCUGUUUGCAGAAUUUUUUAUAGACUAUACAUAAAAUGAUAUGGUACCAAAA